rnacentral:rRNA from 2 species
UAAGGAAUAUUGGGCAAUGGAGGAAACUCUGACCCAGCAACGCCGCGUGAAGGAAGAAGGUCUUCGGAUUGUAAACUUCUGUUAUUAGGGAAGAAGAUAGUGACGGUACCUAAUGAGUAAGCCCCGGCUAACUACGUGCCAGCAGCCGCGGUAAUACGUAGGGGGCAAGCGUUGUCCGGAUUGACUGGGCGUAAAGGGAGCGUAGGCGGUUUGGUAAGUCAAAUGUGAAAGCCUGUAGCUUAACUACAGAAUUGCAUUUGAUACUGCUAGACUCGAGUUCGGGAGAGGUAAGUAGAAUUCCUAGUGUAGCGGUGGAAUGCGUAGAUAUUAGGAGGAAUACCAGUGGCGAAGGCGGCUUGCUGGAACGACACUGACGCUGAGGCUCGAAAGCGUGGGGAGCAAACAGG